CUGUCACAAAGUAUUAAGGCAUUGCGAGACACUUAUAUAUACACGCCUGAAUUAUUCAAAUGUGUUUCAAACACACGCUUGAUAGCAUUGUGGGUACACAGCAACAGCUAAACGAUUUUUGUUGAAGCUUUUUAAACAGCGUGAAGCUUCCUAUCGCUGUAAGAGUGUGCGUUUCUGCAAAAAUAUAAAAUGUGCAACAAAAGAGAAACAAUUAAGAAAUACGGCACCAGCAGCAGUAGCAGAUCCGGUUGCUAGUGGCAGCCGGCGUCAACCCCUAGGUCGAUAAUUAGUGCAUUUACUUUGCAAAACUCAAAAACCGAUUAACGCCUCGCCCAUCCAGCCCAGCCAAUACCCAGCCCUACCAUCUCGUUCGGACCACCGACGCUAGGGAUCGAUGACCAGAGCCUGCCUUUUGCUACAGGCCACCACAAACCGUCCCGGCUCAGUUGUACACCGUUCGUCCGGCGCACCAACACCAGCACCGCGUGGAAAGGUUAGCGUGCAAACGGGCAUGCGCCACCGGGAGCAAUCGUCAGUUCCCCUCGACGAUGACGACGACGUUGGGCUCGGGAAGUGUCCAAGCGUGUGCGUUCGGGUUGCUGGUAGGGCACUGUGCCCUAUGUACCAAUCGCGCUCGAAAAGGAUGAAAGGUAGCGACGGGAAGGAGAGCACAUGCACAGCUAAAGCGUGUCUAUUGACGACAGACAUUUGACAGUUGAUGGAUAUUGGUAUGGAAGGCCACACUAACUAGCCAACGUGGUGUGGCUAUGAGUGUGUCUGUUGGCUGACACCAUAUUCGUCCAAAAUGCUGCUUCGUGUUUCGCACCGCGGUUGUAACUGACGCGUGCUACUGCACUACGCACUGACAGGAAAUGAGAAUUCGCGGUUUUAAACCACGUGGAAUUUAAACCAGCCACACUAAAAAAUGGAGAACAGGCCCGACGAGACGAGCGUUGUGUGCGUAUGUGUGUGCAUCAUCAUUAUCGCCAUCAUUUUACUACAGCGGCCGCGGCACGAGAAAACCGGAAGAAUCCAAUCGAGAGUCAGGCAAGUUAGCGGCUUGCUUGCCGCAAUGGACCACCGUCACGCCGUCACCGUAUACCGCCCGUCGGUGUGUGCAUCGGAUGCUUGGCUCGACGGCUUUCACGGUGGUCGUGAUCAAUCUCGUGCUCUCGCCACGUUAGAGCGUUUUUGUUGGUGGCAUUUCGCUUGCACUAGCGAAUAACUGCGAAUACCGUCUCACUCGCGUUGGCAGCAGCAUGGAGGAGUUACGCACACGAUUCGUCGUGCCGGAUGGCUGUGCCUGUGUGUGCUUGCUGCUUUGUAUCGGUAUGUGUCCUCGGGGAUCGGCUUCGUCGUCGUGGUCGUCGUACAUCAUCGCACGAGUCCAGCAACGCGUCUACGCCGCUGUAACUGGAGCACACGCGUCCAACGGUUGGUUGGUCCAAUGGCAGUAAACUCCGCUGCUCGUCGGCACCACCGUUAUCAGUUGUUCCGUUGACGUUUGUGCGGCAAGCCACGAGGUUUCAAGCCACCGGCCGGACUGGUUCGGUCGACGGUUUCGACAGUCGAGCCCUUUGCACGUGAUCGAUAGUGUCUAGUGGCGUUGAAGUGGUUGGUCUGGGACGAGGACGCUCCAAGCGUGUUGGGUGACCAGUGUGAGCGUGCGUGAGUCUGUAACCGUGAACGUGUGUGUGUGUGUGUGUGUGAGUGUAUGCACAAAAGGUUCAAGAAUUUGCCUGGCACAAUGUGUGAAGGUGCCGUUUUGCAAGUGAGGUGUGAGACAACUUCAACCACUACUAACGACGGGAACCACCAUAUGGUACCGAACGGAACGGGCAGCCACAACAUCAAAGUGUAGUGGGCCAGUUUGAAGCGGUCGAGUGGAUCAAAUGACGAGCCUUAUUGUCCGGGGCAAGCAGAAGUGUUUGUCGCUGUACGUGUCCGUGCACCUCGGAUGGGGAAAAUGGGAACACUUGGGGACAAGCGUGUGACACAUACGGUUUGGUUCUCGUGGUGCAACGAUGCAAUCGCGCCAGCAAGACGCGUACGGACAGACUGUCGCCUUCCGGCAAGUGUGUAUGUGUGUCUGUUUGUAUGUACUGAAACAAACGAUUCUGGAAUGUUAUGUGCGGGUGUACGAGUGUGUGUGUGUUUUUUUACUGCAUAUGUGACCACCUUAGCCUUAGCCAUGUGCACGGAAAGCAUGGCCGCAUUCGGCGUCAGCGUCAGAAAGAGCAAACCAUCUCCAGCGGCAGUCCAGCUGAUGCGGAGGUCCAUUCCGUGCUGAAAAAGGAAAUCUUCAAAAUGGCACGAACGUACGCGUGGAUGUGUUGGUGGCCGCCUGGAAGGAAACCUGGAACCCUGGAAGAAGAACUUGGCUGAUGGGGCUGCUAAGAAGACGGGAGAGGCAAAAAAUUAAACAUGCAUCACGCCCGUAACCACUUUUGGGUUAGCGCUUGGAUGUGUUGAACCGAACGCGCUCUGUCUUCAGGUAAGUGAAGAGAUGCUGGUCGGGGAAGGAACCAACCUUAUGCCGACCGUCCUGUUGCAUUUGCCUGCUUACGGCAUGGAUCAUUAAGUGGGAGAAGAAGGAAAAGAAACAGUUGAAAUGUUGUACAACAUAAAACAUACUGCAAUAGUACGUCUAGAUUUUCAACACUCCACAGGCACAAAGCGAGACGACACAUACAGUGAUGAAAAUGUGAUUAUUUUGAAUCGUAACCGAAUUAAUCCUAUGGCAGUGGUACACUUAAAUGAUCAUUAAAUGAGCGUUUUGUUGGUCCUAUAAAACAUGUUGGAAAUGUUUUGAGUAGUAUUAUUAUCUCAAAACAUAUAUAAGGAUAUAAAUCCUUCUAUUUGAGCUACUAAAUUCCAUACAUAGUGACUCUUUUCUACCAUGAUAAAUGAAUCCCAUCACAAGCAGCAGCUUUUCGGUACGAUUACAUCACACCAUUGACGCGAUGUUAAUCAUUCGCUCCAAACAGGCCGCAUAUCCGUCCGGCCGACUCAUGUCGCGAAAGAUGUUGCUGACCCGUUGAUGGACCACUGUCGCUGCAAAUCUUUUGGCCAGCGCCCCAUCGCAGACGAUCACGCUGACACGAAGCGACAAGAUGCAAUGAUAAAUGGUCAACUCAAUGCGCUAGUUAAGCCUAUCCUAUGUGUGGAGCGUCGUGCAGAAAUGAUGAAUGAUGUGCUUGGAGGCUAGCAAUCACACACCGCACCGCACAUUAAUAUAUUCCACACCACCUCAGGAUAGGACGAUCCGCUCGAUUCGUACCUGGAGCUGCCAAAAAAUACACCAAACCACUUUUACCAUAAAGUUCUUAUCAUUAACAGAGACACUCCAACAGUGCAAACGGUGCACCAAAUCCGGCACACCAUUCAUCCACACAACCAAAAUCCCGUUCCGGGUGGACACAAAUUGAACUUAUUUAUUUCGAAUGCAGCGGAGAGAGAGUCUGCUUUUCCAAGGCAAAACGAUUUAAUGCUCAGCACCCGGGUUGUCCCAAAAUCAUCCACCGAGCUUUCCCGAACCCUGCACCAUUCGUUGCAGUGCAUUUCCAUCCCGUGCAGCGUCGCUGGCGGAGCUAAUUGUACGUUGCCGGCUGGACGAAGGACUACACGGACGGCGUUCGUUCCAGUUCCUGGAUCAAGAUUUAAUAACAAACGCCUGGCUCGGUGCCAAAUUGGUUCGAGCUUUUCUCCCAAGUGUCAUAUCCGAGCGGAAAACUCCACCCUUGCUCUGCGCCUUUCCACGAACCAAGGAAACGGGGCCUGGUCUGGUGGGCGGCUGAGUGGUUGUGUACGUGUACUUUUCGCAUAAGCCAAUUGGAGCCACAAAAACCGUAGAACUAGAGAGUUUUUGGGACACAUCCGUACACCUCCCUGGCAGCUUACCUAAACCAUUUUUGGCCGGGUUCGUAAAUCGGGUUCCAUUUCUUGCUGCUCUUUAUGCUCUAUUUUGUUUCUUUGAAUGUGUAUGAGUGUGUGAUCCUUUACUUUCUGCUACGCUCGGUGGUUAAUUCUAGCCUCCUCUACACCCAUCUCUCCUAUGCUGGAUAUGCUUGCUUCUUAUGCCUGUUUUUUGGAGAUGGGGGAGAGGGGGGGCUCGACUAAUACCCCCAACAAAACCGGACUCCCAACGGGAAGCGCUGGACGCUGGAAAGCGAUAAGCGAGCAGAAGCAUUUGUGAAAAGCGUUGUGCUUUUAUGCUGACCAGAAAAGGGGAAAAAACACCAUCAGAAUCCUACCUUUUCCUACCAUUUCAGCCUCGCUCGGGACCAUUUCCCGGCACUGGCAAACGGCAGAAAUUAAUCGCAUUUGUGUGAAUGAAUUGUCCAUGACCGUGCAGCCGUGCUUUAGGGAGGGAAAAAUGGAAAAGAAAAUGGAAUCCGUUUACUCGUUUUUUUGUUUCGUUUUUGUUCCGGUUUCGAUUUUCCGAACCAAAACGCUCAAAAUGCUGACUGACCAUUGGCGCAAAAUCGAAGCGGAGGGGAGAAAGACGAAUGAAAUGGGUUGGGAAAAAGUUAGGGCAAAAAAAACCAGCAUCCAUCCUUUUGCUCCCCAAUUGUUCUCGUUGGACACAUGGACGGAGAAAAAUGAAAAUUUGAAUCUGCCGCAAAACAGGGCAAACCGUCAUAACAUUAGAUAAACAAUAAACAAAAUACUGUGUACGGGUUGGUCAGCAACAGAAAAAGGGAAGCUCCGGAUCGAGCUGGUGGCAUGGUGUUAGACACAUGGUGAUGUACGGCUGCCAGAAGGUACAUGGUUGACAUAUUCCUAUUGCCGAAAGAUUCCUAUUGCUCCCGAGCAGUACAGGCUCUAUAAGGCCUUAUGCACCGCUUUCUCUGAAAGGCGUUUUCCGGAAGGCCAAACAUGUUUGACUAACUUUUGUGCUCGUAAGGGGGAAAUGUUUCCACCCAAGAAAAUGUUUCAAAUGCUUUUCCAGAUGGUACAGGCAUACCCGGAAGAGAAGAAGGUUUGCCAGCUGUAGGAAAUGAAUGUACAAUUCCAAUGAUGAUUAUGAUGAUGUUUUGUUUAUGUAUCUGUCGUCUAGUACCUUCGGUGGUUGUGGCCUUAGUGUUUUUUAGUAAAAAGCAAAACAAAACCGGGAAACAAGACAACCACAAAAUUUGAAAGGACUUUUUUGUUUUGUUGCGGUGAAAUGUAGCCAAAAUCACAAGGAAAAGCUUUAGAGCAGUGGGCGGACAAUCUAACAUUGUCACAAAAAGGGAGGGCUCGGUAUCAUAAAUCACAUCACUUCAUCGCGGGAUACCUGAAGUCACUUUAUAUUUGCCCAACCUAGGUUAGGUAAGGUAUAAUAUAAGGUAAGAAAAGUAUUCAGUUCACUUCAUUUAACAACCAAUUGCGAAAUCACUUCAUUUAACAUCCAAUUGACAGCAUUCAAUGUGUUCCAGGAAUAAUGUGUAAUGAAUUCGAGAAAUUCAUUAUACCGUUAUAUUCCUUUGAUUUUGUUAAUGUUUCGCUCAUAAUGGUGAAAUGAUAUGCUCCACCAACCACCGUAGCUUUCGGUCAAUCUAGAGUUAAUAAUGAUUACGUACGCCCAUUACUCCCGAGAAGAAAAGAAACAAUCCUAGCCAAAGCACAAGCAUUUAUCGACCAUUCACCCCGUUCGAGGCAAUAUCCUGUGCGAGCCUGUGUACACCAUACUCACACACAAACAGCUAUCAGAAACUUUCCGAAGCUGAAAUAAUUCAUCUCCGGGUGUGUGGGAACCUACUGAACCGGGCACACAAUACCGUGAGACAUUUUCACCUAUCUUCCGUUUGCAGCAGCAGCAUGAUUUAAUAUUUCAUGCGGUGUCGUCUACCAGUUUGGAAAUAGUUCACCAUACACGCCCUGCAACCAAACCCACCUGAACCGGUGGUUGUGUGACUUUUUGACGGUCUCGAUUCACGUACGGGUUCUCCAGGCCCAGGGAAGAGAGAGUGAGAGAGAUACUUCACGCGUCCACAACAAAAGUCGUCCCCAUCAUCUGGAUCCACCUGCCUCCCCCGGUAAAGAUUUGUGGGUUGUUCCUGUCAGGGAGUAAGACUUUUCCGGCAGAUUUCACCUGAAACAUGUAUGUUACUUCCCAUCCUACCGGUGACCUUUCUGUUGACAAUCGAGCUGAAAAUGGAAUAGGAAGAAAAAAAAGGAUCCCUUAAAAGGAUUACUCCCAACAAUGAGCUAAAAGAAAUCAGAUUCACGGUUGUUUUCCAUAGUAUUUUUGGAAAAAAAAAAUAUGAAAAUUUUGAACAACCAGCUAAGCGGACACUUCAUUUCAGGUCGCGAUGGAUACAGGCUCACACCUAGACAUGUACGUCAGGGUAUGUAUGGGAAAAUACAGCAAACUAGACCGCUCAGUUACUUGUUUUUACCCUGUUCUUGCUAGAGGAAACCGAAAGCAUGUGAAACGUGCUAAUGCGUCCGUGUUCAACUUUUCGGUUCGUUUAAGUGUUCCCAAUGGUUCAGACGGUUGUUUUCGAUGGUUUUCUCUGAGUGAGGUUAACUCCGAAUCAGGAUAAUGACUUGAGAUGUGAGCGUGUUUGUGUGUUCAAACAUUAGUCAACGUUGAGUUACAGCAGAGACAGCAGAGAGAGAGGCACUGCGGCUGCGGUUAAGAUGGAACCGAGUACGAAAUAAUUCAUUAGUAGGGAAGAAAUUAUGCUGGCAAAGUUAUUUUCUAUUGUUCCCCAAUGGCGACACCAGCCAGCGCCGACACCACGUCUUACACACAUACGUUCACCCCAAAGACACACAUUGCAACGAUGCUGAUAAGGAUGCUGUCGGUAGGACGUCGUUUAGUUAAUUUCAAGAUUUCGACACCACCCACCCGGCACAGGAGCGUUACAUGUGUAUACUGCGAACGACUCGGAAGUAUGCUGGCUUCCCGUCUUUGAUUAGAAAUAAUUUGGAACGCUCGAGUUUGCUCACUUGCGGUUCCGUAAAUCUUUCCUUCUGCUAAACCAUUAGAGGCUUCGCUAUAAAACAUACUCUUAAAGCUGCCGAUGGAAACCGUUCGUCUUUCCGUUACCGAAUCGCAAAAGUGCGUGCAAAGAUUUUAUCUCUUGAUUUACCAUCAUCCGCCACUCGUUAAGAUCGUUAGCGAAAUUACAAGGAUGUUUGGGGUUCGCUUCAAGCGAAUGACAUUGAAGCUCUGCCGGGAACGUGGAGCAAACCUCCGUUUUUUGGAAUGUUUCGCUCCGGCUGGAAAAUCCGCUGUAAUUACUUUAUUAUGCUCUAAUACAAUAUUCAUACACCGAAUCGAAGCUUAAUCUUUCACUUUUCCCUUUUCCGCACUUUGCGCCGCAACGGACGAAACGAACUCGGUUUAAAGUGGUGCUCCGUGCUCUCCGCGAGAGGCGGGUUCCAGGACGCACACGUAGGUGUCGGUAAUCUCUGUUCUGUACCCAAGGCAAAGGCGUCGAAUAUCGUCACACCGUAAUGAUGUUUCAAUGGAAUUGGGAAAUUAUCAAGAUUAUCAUGCCCUUCUGCUCUGAAUCUAAUGCCUCAAGAUCUUGGCAUGUCACGGCGGGUAUCGCGCGCGUGUUACGAACGGGUACAGGAAGGUUGACAUGUGUGUGUGUGUGUAUGGGUAAAAAUCGUGUUGAAAUCUUACCUCGAGUAAGUGAUCCUUUUGUGUGUCUGUCUGGGCACGAAUGUUCAACAUCAAAAAGAAGAAAAAGGUACAAUUUUUGUUCGGAAACAAAAAAAAACCAUACAGAUCGUGAGAAAAAGCCGUGCACAGUGAGAGGUGUGAGAAUUGUUGGAACUCCUACCACAUUCCCUUUCUGUGAUAUGAUCCAAAAAGUGCGGCCCAGGGAGCUUCAUUCAUACGGCGACUGGGAGUAGGAAGAUGGACUGGGUCAAUGCGGCACAGCAUAAAUAUGCAAAAGGAAAAAUAUUAUCGUACCGAGGUCGAACUGCCAGCGCAGAGGUAAAGUGGGGGCAUCUCGGCUGCUGUGUGGAGGAUUCGGUGGCGUGUAGCAUAAAGCAUACAACCGCCAUGUGGGUUACACGUAGCACGAGAGAGACAGACAGAGGCUGUGAAGGAGCACGAGAGAAAGAGAGAGAGACAGGAGGCUGGUGAAAAGGGAUUUAAAUUAAUGGAAACAAUCCAUAAUUGAGCGGAAUUUCUACCCCGUUUGUGUACGCAUUUAUCCAAUUCUUCAACCCGGUACGUCAUGCGUGGACGUGUACGUUGCUCUGCGUAUUUCUACUUCUUUUUUAUGCUUCGACAUCGCGAGAUAGAUAGACAUGGCGGCCGUGGCGGGGGUUAAGAGCAUCCGGAGUUCCGUCCAACCCGCCUACACACAAUCGGUCGGGAAAGGGAAUGGAACGGACGCACGGGGUUGACAGGAAGCGUCGACCGAAGCGCGUAUCUGAAGCGAGCAUGAUUUGUAACCGGGUGAUGCAUACGGUCGACGGAUGAGUGCACGGUUGAUGUGAUGGGUUUUCUAUUUUUUUUUUACGAAUGUGUCUCUGUGUCCGUCGACCUCUCCGCUAUCGGGCCGACAAUGUGACGAAUGAAACGGGCCAUAAUUAUGUAUUUAUGCCUGGCAGUGAUUAAGGAAGGUUAAAGUGGUAAGGAUAGCAUCGGAUGUGUUUCCUAGAAGCAGCGAUGAGACCCCGGGAAUAGAUGUGUGUAGGUUCUUGAAAAAUUGAAGCUCAGCUUACUACGAUGAUGCAUACUCACGUUGACGAGUCCUUCUUUAGGAUCUGUUUAAAUUACCACGAACGAGAUGGUUCAGUUUUCGGCACACGCUUUACACGUCACUGUACGCACUAUUGUCCUUUUAAGCGGUAAAGCACACAGAAAAGAAAUCCAAAGCCUGCUUGUUUUUUGGUUUAGCUUACCCGGAGAGCCACAACAAUAAAGGAUAGCAAACAGCGAGGUAAGAACACGGCACAAUGGAUCAAAGCUGAAGAAUUCCUAGCCACAUUGCCCAAACCCCACCGAGGCAGUGUAAUGGAUUGUUUUCGCGUAAUUAUGUCUCUUCAUCAUGGGACGCAGGACAUGCAGGGUUGUUACAAUGCGCGCGUGCUCUUAGUCCUCGGAUGUAUUGUGCCACGUAGCUGGCAUGUAAAAUGGAUGGAUUUUCACCCGAUCCCAAACCCAGACACCAAAGUUCAAUCGAGUGCACGUGGUGUGCGGAUGAUGGGCAAAUAUCGCGAACAAACGUGUUCGGUACUGUUGAUCCUUGAUCCUUGUACCAGGUGUGAGUGCAGGCGGGAAGGGCAGACGGUUAUGCGGUGGCUGCAGCUUUUAAUCUGGAGCGAACGAGAAUGCACAAAAGAAAUGCCGAUAAUCUCUCCCUCUCUCUCUCUCUCUCUCUCUCUCUCUCUCUCUCUCUCCCCCCCUCUCUCUCUCUCUCUCUCUCUCUCUCUCUCUCUCUCUCUCUCUCUCUCUCGCUCUCUCACUCACUCCCUCUCUCCCUCUUUCUCUCUCAAACGGUUCUGUGCAAAAGAUUAGAUAGAAAUACACACCAACACAAAAUAACCCACACACAUUUACUAUCCGUCAUUCCGAUUCCCAUCGUUCACAUUCACACACACGCUUACACUCACCAAUACAGACCGUUGGCAGGAGAAGAUUGCAAAAAAAAAUCACACCGUCAGUCAGCUUCCUUUUAGCUCGAAGAGUCCUUCCAAACCGACGGAGAGAUUGAUAUGUCCAUCUUUUUCACUCUAUGGCCGUAGACCGCUCGUACAGGAUGCUGUCAAAAUGGCGCUCCCGCAUUCUCACGCGAGUGCUGCUUCUCUCUCUUUCUCUCUCUCUAUCUCUCUCUCUCUCUCUCUCUCUCGCUCUCUCUCUCUCUCUCUCUCUGGUGUUUCGGGUCGAAAAUGGUAUAUGCGUACUCGUUCCGUUAUCGGCCCGCUAUGAUCGUCGCUCUCUUUUGCGCCCGAAGAACGGCCAACUGGACAGCUCCAGUUCGGUGUGAAGUUCACUCUCUCAUUUCAACUGUGAACUCGUAACCGUGCGGACGUGUCUUCGCGGACGUUGAAAGUGGUCUCCACUUUGUCGAAGCGUGUCGUUCGAUCGGUACGGGAAGAACUGUGCCCUUUGUAGUGUGUAAGUUCACGUUUGGUCAAGCACGUUAUCGGUGCCAUUUUGUGGUGCACGAUAGGAACGUUUGGUUUUCAUUUACUGUGCGUUUCUAAGGUGUAGGGUUCACAAGACGAUCGACGUAGAGUAAGAAAAAAAAACGUUCCAAGAAGAUAAGCCACAACACAUGCUUCCUGUUGCUUUCCAGAUGUGGUUGCGAAGAAGGCCAAGCUACAUCGCACCACUUUGCCAUAGCGCACGUGCGUUUGGCCGUCGAUAUUGCGUUCCCUCUUACCCCGCUUUCAGUGUGUGUGUGUGUGUGUGUAAGUGCGUCGCGAAACGAUUGUGUGUGCUUGUGUGUAUGUGUACAUAUUCGAAAAACUCUACCACCGGGUGCAGCAGCAGUGUGCAAUAUCCGUCUGGGAUUGGGAAGUUGACAGGAGAAGGGCACCAGACGAAGUCCAUUUCCAAACCCCGUCGUCCCUUUUUGGCGAAGAAAAAGACAACAUUCGACAGGGAAGAAGUGUUGGCUGCCGUUACCGGCUCCUGGUGACUUGCAAAGGAUGGCCGGAAGAGGGCGCUCGCGUGCCUCUUCUUCCCCCUUCCAAGCGCUGUCUGGUCGGUCGGCUCUCUGUGACGGUCGCCACCGUUUCGGUAGACAAAAAGAAAAGGGUGUGAGGAUAUUUUCUGCACCAUGUAUGCGGCUGUGUGUUUGUGAGUGUGAGUGUGUGUGUGUGUGUAAGUGGUAAGAAAGGAUCUGGAUAGCAACGAGCCGUACACCGCCGUCUCCAGGAAGUGUCCAGAAGCCGCGCGCACUUGGUGGAUCAGGAGCAAUCAGCAACCCUCCCGCGUACCACCUUCAUUUACCCUACUGCUAUGUCGCGCGGGCAAUAGCUCCAAUAGCGCGGGCAAGCGGGAUUUAUUACACGGAUCGGAUGACGGAUCGAAAUUGUUUCGACAUGGACGUAUCGUUUUUUUGUUUUGCUUCUUUGAGGCCAAUUCAUUUGCCGAUAAUAACUCGAUUCGAGUUUGGAACGAUUUGUGGAGGCUGCAACGCCGUGUGUUGUUGAGCAUCGAUGAAAUGGGGCAGACAUAGCAGGAGGAGUAGCGUAAAACAUCCAUUAGUGAUAUUAAAUUAUUGACCAUCAUUUUUAACUGUAGUUGUACACGUAUCAUCUUUACAGGAAGAUCUUCAAUGGCUUUCAAAAAUGCUCGUUCCAUCAAACCCUUCAUUAAACAACUGUAAAGUGCGUGCUAGUUAAGAGGCAUUCGCGAUGAAGCUCGAAUCAUCUUAAGUUCAAAUAUUUCAAAUCCACUUUUCAUAAAUACCUUCGCAUUGGAGCCGAAACACACGGGCAUCGAUGGAGAUUGUGGAAAUAGUUGAAAUAUUCCCUGGCAGUGAACAUUCCCGCAUCUCGCACUUUCCAAAGCAAAGUGUACCCCAAGUGCGUGUGGUGUGUAUGUGCAACCUACUAAUCGGUGAACUUCAACCGGAAGUGAAUCAUGCUUCGCAACAUGAUGCGCGUGUGUGUGCACAGCGUGUGUGAUUAACAUUCUCGUAAGCGGCGGUGUGUUUCCUGAUAAUGAAUGGUACCACAGCACAAUCCCAACUCCUCAUGCUUUUCCCGCCCGCCCUUGUGUAGUGUGUUUUAUGUUGUUGAUGAAACAUCGCUUUUUUCCAUUUGUUUUUCGUAGUCGUAGGAUUUUUCUUACAAAAAAAACAAUCCAAUUCAAAUCUGUUUUUGUCCCUUCAUCCGGUUUGUGGUGUCACGCGUGGUUCGAUUCUGAUGUCGCAAGACAUGCGCGAAACCGCUAAAAGCCAUAAUCCCUGCGUGUUUGUGUAUUUGUGUGUAGUUAUCCCAUCGCCUAUUUAAUACCUUGUAAAAUGUAUCCUAAAAACCCGCCUCUAUCCUGUAAGUGUGUACAUCCUGUUGUAGCGUAUCCAUGUAGUGUCGUUGUAUCUGUGUGUGUGUAUAAAUCUGUGUAGUGUCCCGAGCGAGCGAUCGGCUCAAUCAGCCCCACCACCUUUUUUCCAGUUGCAAUCACCUCAACCCCCAUCCAACAACAUCCAUCGACGGUGUGCGAUUUCACAGUUGCUGGUUGCUCGGUUGCUUUAUACGUCACUAACACUCCACCACAACCCACCCAACGCCAACCUACACCCUGCCCUGCCCAACGCCAACCUUUACCAUCCUGCCCAAAUGCUGCGCUGCUGCAGAACCCUGCAGUCGAUCGAUUUCAUUUCAUUUAUCGGAAAUGCACCGGUGCACUCGAACCCUUAUCAUUCUUUCGCCCCGUGUGCUUUCUAACAACUGGACGGAGAACUGAUAAGGGCCCGGGUCACCUUUACCCACCGUGGGAUAAUCAUGUGUGUGUGUGUGUGUGCCAGAGAGAGAGAGAGAGAGAGACUGUGUGUGUGUAGUUUGAAGAGGAGUGCUCUUUGUCGAAUGGAAUCGGAAUGUGGAUGAAGAAAGAGAACGCCGUUUGCAAUUCGAUCCCGAACUGAGAUACUGACAAGGUGAAAAGAAAAAAAAUACAGAGCAGUUCAGUGUGCCUGUGUGUUGUUUGUGUGUUGAUAAUUUAGAUGUAUUUUCUUUAGCGUGACAAAACGGCGGGCUCGAUUCGUCAUGCUGAUAAGAUAAGCCGGUUGUUAGAGGUUCUCGGGCGCUUGUAUGUGCGAUUCAGUCAGGCACGUCGUAAGUUAUGUCACUGUAAUCAUAAUGAAUUUAGAUUUUAUUUUCGUUAAGCGAUUGUAACCCGUUUCAAUUGGACGCUGUAAGAGUAUAACAAAAUUUAACAGAAAAAUCGAUCGAGUAUGAGAGAAAGAAAUUUCGUUUUGUAAUAUUCAUUCUACUGGCAAAAAUUCAUACUCCUCUCAAAUUAAAUAUUUGAGAAGAUGUUUAGCAAAUUUGAAAAUAAUUGUUUUAAUCUUCAGUUUGAAGAUAAACUCCAAAUUAUCUUGUGAAGGUCUUUUGAAGCGCCUGAAAGUAUGCAAUAUUUUUGCAGUGUAAAUUGAUGUGAUAGGCCAAGAAAAAUGCGAACGAAAAUUAUUGAAAAUCAGAUUACUCUAAUCUAUGCAAAUUUUGAGCAAUCAAGAGCCAAUGAUGAUUCCCUUUACAACUUUCAAUAUAGAAAUAGAUGGUUUAGUAUUUAGGGUUUUUAAUUACAAAAUUAUUGUAUUUUAUAAUGAAUCAAAUUUAUACAAGCCAAAAAUCUAUAUCUUAUGUAAGGAAGCUGUAAGUUCGAUAUUUUCAACUAUUUUAUGUAAUAAAAACUAAUUGAAUGCUUUAGCAGAUGAGUAAAAUAGACUUUUAGCAAUGGUGCUCGCCAACUUAAAUUAAACCGAUAAGCAUAACCGAAAGGAAUUCGAACUUCGAAUUAAUUCGAAUUUAUUCUCAUCCUGGCUAUAGCUGCAGAGAUGUAGUUUUUACUAAAACAACUAAGUUUUCUACCAUUAAUACGUUUCAAUCAUAUUGCUUGUUCAAAUAGUUCAAAUUGCCCUUUAAAUUUAAUUCAUCCCUUAGUGCUAUACACUUUGCAUACUUUUGGGCGUUUUUAUAUUUGUUGUACUGGAGAAAACAAAAACUCUUCCCGUAGGAAGGGAAUGAAUCAAAUCCGCUACUGCCUGGGUAUGAAUGGCCUACAAAACCGUUUAUUUGACUAAUGUUAUCUCCCUUUUCCUACAAACACACUGUGCUCGAAAAUGGCUACAAUCACACGGCCCUAACACACGAUAAGAAGACUGUUGUUAAGUGGCUAGCCGAUUUUGGUUUCUUCGUUGUGGUGGCCAGUUUUUGUUUUUGUCCCUUCCGCUUGUGAAACAACCCGUAUCGUCGACACACACAAUCGCUUAAACAGACUCGCCACUUCGUCGAGCAUUAUUCACUGCGCUGGUUUGCGCGCAGGCACUGUUGCUGGCCGUGCCGUGCCAAUCGACAGAUUGUAGCACUUUGUUACGCAGCGGAUUAUGUUCUGGUUUAUAGUUUACGCUCUCCCCCCAAACAGCCCCAAAUAAGGAUGGCGGGACACAGAAGCAGAGACACUCAGAGCACACCACACUUGUGCCUACAAAAGUGGUGUCCGCUGUAUUGCGACACAAUUUUUAACGAGUUUCCCAAUCCAGACCCGAGAAAAAAAAUGCUCCCAAAACCAAUACCAAAAACGAUGACCAAGCAAGCGUAAUGAUGACAGCAGCCGGACAAAGAUUGACUGUUACGAUUGACAGUACCCGGGCGGGUGCAGGGUGGAAUGUGUUCGCGAUUGAGCGAAUUAUUAUGAUACAAAAUGUUAAUAUACUUUCCAGCAUAUCGCCUCCACGGAGGGCUAUUGGAGCAAUGAUGUAUGCGAAAGUGUACCAGUGGUGGGGGUGGAAUUGGGCGGGAUUGGGCUCAAUUAUGCUGCCGCUGUUGCUGCUACUUAAUGCGGCAUUUUGUGCACGGGAAGGAGUAGCAAUUCCCGCUGGGGAGAGUAGGGAAGGGGAUGAAAUUAAAAAUCCGAAGCACUUCUCCGCAAUGCACUUAAUUGAUUUUAUCUGCAGAUUAUCAUUUCAUAUCUCCCACCCUUCCCGUUUUUUUGUUAAAUCCCGCUUGUUUGCAUUAUGCGUCCCCUUGCACUUUGCUUCCCCUUUAUAUGUAUUUUUGUCAGUUGUGUGUUAUGUGUUGAUUGAAAUUGAUCAUAAUUUUUGUGGUGCCACCGCAGCAGCAGCAGCAUCGGUCGCAUCGUUCAACCGGUUCCCGUUCGGGGAGGCUCUGGAAUUUUGAAGGACAGCACGCAAUCAUGCUUGGUAUCGUUGGAUCGUUGGGCCACCGUGCGCAGUACAUUAUUUUUACUGCCACGAGCAAAUUGUUUAACAUACUUUCAAAUUUGAGCGGUCCUUUUUUUCCUCUGUGUGUGUGUGUGCAGUCAGUUUCCGCUUCAGUUACGGUUCAUUUAAUUUGACAAAUUCCACCGGGCUGUCCCACUCUGCUCGCUCCGCUGGCCCAUUUGAGUGGCAGUUAAUUAGGUAAAUAUACAUCGAGAGGGAAAGGCAGUAGUGAGUCUGUGGUGUGCGUACGUUCGUUGACGUGCCAUUUUCAGCGUGCCGCGUUCGGCGUUGUGGUGAGGGGCGCGUUGGAGUCGAUCGAGACAUUAUCGUUAUUUGAAUAAAUCAUUUUCGAUUCAAACAGGCUAAUUUAUUAAUUUAGCGUUGCCUGCGCAAAUUAUCCCUCCCUGCGUGUGUGAGGAGUACAGCUUUGUGCAGUGAAGCUUGCCGCGAAGGGAGCAUGCUUAAAUAUUCGUUUUUUUCUGUGUUGUGUUUGCCCAACGAUCUGAAUGUGAGAUAUUUGAUUUUUUUUUUUUGCAAAAUUAAACAAUAAAUUCUAAUUGCACCAUUUAUUUCACAUCAAUCCCAUCCCGAUCGCCAGAUGAACAUAACCAGAACCAGCAUCUUUAUUUGUCUUUCAGUGGCACAUGCUGAGAAGUAUCCCUGUCGCUGCGCGUCUACCUGGCACUGCGGAUGUGUCUGCCAAUAAAGGAUCACCAUUCAAAAACCACCGACGACAUAACCUUUCCAAGGGCUGGUUUCGAAUUUACCUGCGGGCUGCCUGUGUAAUCCUAUGUCUGCAUCAACCAAAAGGACAGCUGAAGCCCGGACCGGAAUAAAUCCCGUACCGCGCGCGUGUACACUCGUUAACACACUGGAUUGGGUUUUGCGCACUGCCGCCGCCGACGUGCCCCGGUUGCAGCAACUGCAAAUAAUGUUACAACAACUUUAUAUUGACAGCUGAUCCGGAAAGCAAAAGGUGUGUCCUAUGGGCCGCUGUCAACCCUCUGUGUGUGUGGGUGGUGUUGUAUCCUUUUGUUGGUCCUGAGACGGAAACGCCGGAAGAUUGAAUGAUGCAACGACAGCCGGGGCGGCAGCUGUCUGUUUGGAGGAGAUUGUAACGGUGUGUCUCGAUUGACAUCUGCAAAACACAUACACCCGGAGAGGGACAAUGCCCUUCAUGUCCAAUUGCGCCAACGCGCGCGAGUGUGUGUGGGCAGCUGGUGUCUGGUGACGGAGAAGCAUAAAAAUCGUCGAGAAUCGAUCAAGGAAACUCCAUCAACCCCAAUCCAGCACAGAGAGGGUUCCGGAUAUCGACUUGUGGUUUUAUGUGGUUCUUGCCUUGUGGCUAUUUUUGGGACGAACUCCUGCUCAGACGGACAUAAUUUUCCCGACGUGGGCGCUCCCUCACCUGGGCGUCAAGCGGAGGUUGAUGCACUCCGAUUGGAAAAGCGAAGUGUUGCAGCAUCUGGUAUGUCUCGGUAGAGUGAUUCAUUUCGACCGGCGGAGGAACAUUAUCCAGCAAGAUACUAUCCAGCCCUGCGGAACACUGAAGUAUUGUAAGCCGAGGCUGUCUUUCGUGACGGAACGCUAUAAGGAGAAGCGUUUUAUCAAUGUCUCUUUACAGAAUUUAUGAUUUAUGGUCACGCACCUCCCUCCCCGCAAUGCAUGCAUUGCCACGGCCAAGCCGGUCGGGUCCUAUUUUCUGUGCUUAACUUUGCAAGAAUCUGCUGCCACCACAUCGCUUGCACACAGUCAAAAAGCUAACGCAAACGGAGAAAAAGACAUUUAUUUCGCUCAAAUUCAUCCCUGGCUGGAAUGUGGAUGCUGCUGCCGGUGGUGCUGCUGUUAUGGCAAGAUCUCUUUAUUGGAUGCGCAUACACCACACAUCCUGAAGUUUACAUUUCUUUGCGUGUGUAAGAAAAACCUGCUCCGUUUUUAGUAGCAGCGUGGUUUUGGGGCUGAAUGAUGAUAUGUUUUUCACUCCUACGUGGUUCCGAAACCGGCACGCAGCAGCAUCUCUUAGCGUGUGUGCAAUAAUAGCUUACCCCAGAGGAGGGUGUGAGGGGUUGUCUACCCUUUUCCGGCGAGUGGGGAAAAUGAAGGGUGAGAAUGUCUGGUAAAUCCGUUCCGAUUCACAACUCUGGAUGAUUUUGAUGCAUUCGUUUGCUCUGUGGGAGGGCAUUUUCCAUCACAACCUCCAAUUCCGUUUUCUCGAACCAAUCCUAGCCCACGGUUGCUACAUAGUGCGCAACAUAGUAGGCAAAGCCGAGCGUUAUUUUUCCCUUGCUGCACAUUUGCUGUGCUAUUGCGUAUUGCAAAACCCCGUUACGGCAGGCGUGCGACGAGUGCCCAUCGCGCACAGCGUUGUAUUGUCUGGCGGCAGUAGCGGCAGCAGCCGAACACGCGAAGUUUAAGCUUGGUCGCUGCACGCCGGCAAGAUAAACGAUGCGGCCGAACAGAAUACGUCUCUCUGCAAGCUUAGGGGAGAUUACCCGCCAUCCCGGGACGCCCUCAAGGUUGAAAAGUUCUUCGCUCAAAGGAGGGCAUCAGGCGCACGCUGCUUCCAACCUGAACGCUACGAACGACUCGGAGUCGGAAAUGUUUGUAGAGAGGGAAUAGGGAAAUCCUCCACCAAGCCCGCUCGUGUCUCCAGGAAGUGAACCAUUUUCUUUUGUGUCGAAAUUUGAUAGUUCAGUAUUUACAAUUGUGGGGCGGGUUUUCUCGUUUGGUGUGUGUUUUUUUUGUACAUCCCCAGAGCAAAAGUUUACAUCCCUUCUCAAGGUGCACCACACCCCCACCUCCACCCCUCAAAACACGAAGCUGAAGCAGCAGCAUCUCGUCAUUGUGCAGUGCACGUGGUGCAGCAGCAGUAGUGUCCCGAUUCUUCCGUUCAACAAUGCACCCGGAACCCUGAAACUCGUCCACGCUUUCCACGGGAAAGCUUCAUCCGAUUCAGCACAGCGCCGGGCAAAGGCAGUAGUAGCAGUAGGAGGAUGAUAAAAUUUAUCAUCUACGAAAUAUGCAGCAUUCGCAACUUAUUACUUCUACUUGGCCGAACAGCGUCCGGAAUGCACUCGCCUGGGUGGAAUCUUCGCGCAUUGCCUCCGUUGCAAUGUUGCCGAGUUUGGAAGGAAGGCGGACACUCCAAACCGGAGAGGGGGAUCGAAUUUCUCGUGGCCAAAUCCGACUUCCUCGCUCGUAUUUCUCGUCGUCUCGGGCGUGUGGUCGUCGUCGUCGUCGUCGUCGCGGUUAACCCUUUUCGGUGUCGGUUUUUUGAAGUUUAUUUGAGUAAUGUAGGGUGUAGGACCGGAGAUUCCGGUUCCGUCUACCACUGCCCACCCAUUCCGCGAAAGGAAUGGCUGCCAAAGUUUCCGUUUGCAGUUCCGUCUGGGGGUAGCUGCGAUUGCGAAAUGAACCAAACCGUGGCCACGCACCGUUCCUUUGUGGAAACCGCAACGGUGGAAUGUACGGGGUUAGUUAUCGAUUGGUUGCACAAAUAAUCUCGGGCUCGGUUUUGUACUACGUCUAUUGUGAAGCCCAUCCUUAGACUGCGGGGCGACUAGUAAAGAUGUGAGGUCGAGUCAGAAGUGGUGUUACGAUGGUGGAAGGUCUAACUCAGUGUUCGGUGUUUGGUUGUAAGGAAUUUUGAGCAUGCAAGAAAAGGAGAAGGAUGAGUAUCGCCUUAUUUUGGACAAACUACGGAAACAUUUAUGCUUGCUUUCAGAUUGAAAGAUUCUUGACAUAGUAUUUGCGCUGAGUUUGGAGUUGGAUGGUGUUGUAAUAGGCACCCAUGGAGUCAUAAUUUUCUAGUUAUUGCCUUACAACAGAAACAAUUCUUUGUUUCUAAAAAUACUGAAAAUGUGAAUUACACUGCCCAAUACCUUACAUACUUACUGAUUGCUUCAAACUCUGAGGUUUUAUGCACUGUAAUUAUCGUUGAACAAGAAACAGGGAGCAUUGAAGGGUUUUCCAGGAGUACUCUUAGCUGUAGGGCACUUUAUUGACUCUUUCUUCCGUGAAAUGAACUUAAUGCAAUGGGAAUUAGUCUCUAUAGCACCCUUGCAUGACAAACCCAAUAGGAAUUUCCAAAGAGCCUGUCUAAAAAAGGGCGCCAUAGAGACCAAUUUUCAACAUAUGAACUUCACUUCCAAUAAAAAAGAGUCAAGGAAGUGUCUGACAACAAAAAGAACCGGUGGAAAACCCUGUAUUCACAUUCAACAGGCAUUCCGGCCUACCCCGGAGGGGCGUAAAAUUGGUUGACGGGCGAAGAAAUUAAAACCUCGUCGUACUCCGUGGCCGGGGACAGGAAGGACGUAACCAAACUCUCCACAAAAUUAUCCUCCUCGGUGGGAAUUAUUGUGCCACACAAUAGUUUUCGGGACGCGCAAUGUAAUACGUCAACAUCGUGGCCCUGACGCAUCUGCUGGCCAGAGUAGCACUGAUAGAGUGAUGCAAGAGUAGAGACCGGGACACGCUGCGGGAUAUAGCUCAUUCCUUUCCUUUAUUUUGUAGAUAAUUGUACGGUGUGUCCUGGUCGAUAUGUCUUCUCUCUCUCUCCUUCUCUCUCUCUCUC